GGUUAUUUAAUAUUUCGUAAGUGUGGAACAUAGUUUUGUUUCGAUGCUUUAGUUAAUGCAUGUUUUGCUAUUUCUAGCUCAUGCAUGAUGAGAGUCAAUUUGAGUGAAUGAUAUGCAUAGACAAUAAUUUUCUUAGGAUCAUAACAAUGUGUUAAACAAGGAAGAAGAAAUUAAUGAAACGAAAAGUAUUUCUAGCACGUCCUGAAAUGAG
rnacentral:lncRNA from 1 species